UCCGGUGUGGUGUAGUGAUGUGAGCAUUGCAGUAUGACUCUGGAGGCCAGGGUUCGAUUCCCAGCUCAGUCA